rnacentral:rRNA from 1 species
AUUGAACGCUGGCGGCAUGCUUUACACAUGCAAGUCGAACGGUAACAGGCCUUCGGGUGCUGACGAGUGGCGCACGGGUGAGUAAUGCAUCGGAACGUACCCAGAGGUGGGGGAUAACGCAGCGAAAGCUGUGCUAAUACCGCAUGUGAUCUGAGGAUGAAAGCGGGGGACCGAGCAGCAAUGUUUGGCCUCGCGCCUUUGGAGCGGCCGAUGUCGGAUUAGCUAGUUGGUGGGGUAAAGGCCUACCAAGGCGACGAUCCGUAGCUGGUCUGAGAGGACGAACAGCCACACUGGGACUGAGACACGGCCCAGACUCCUACGGGAGGCAGCAGUGGGGAAUUUUGGACAAUGGGCGCAAGCCUGAUCCAGCAAUGCCGCGUGCGGGAAGAAGGCCUUCGGGUUGUAAACCGCUUUUGGCAGGAACGAAACGGUGUCCGCUAAUACCGGGCGCUAAUGACGGUACCUGCAGAAUAAGCACCGGCUAACUACGUG